UAUAAAACUUUCAACAACGGAUCUCUUGGUUCUGGCAUCGAUGAAGAACGCAGCGAAAUGCGAUAAGUAAUGUGAAUUGCAGACACCGUGAAUCAUCGAAUCUUUGAACGCACAUUGCGCCCUUUGGUAUUCCGAAGGGCAUGCCUGUUCGAGCGUCA
rnacentral:rRNA from 2 species